rnacentral:misc_RNA from 1 species
CGCUAAUUGAGCUUUAUUCUCAGCAUCAAUUUGACUCUCAAGACUGCUGGCAUUCUGCCUUCUUUCCACUUCCUGGGAGUCAAAGGUAGCAUCAGUUUUGUUUGCAUAAAUGUUAUGCUUUUGUGAUUUAACCUGUAAAGUAGGAUGCAUAUCCUCAAUUAUUUCUUCCUCCUGCUCAGUGAUACCAUUUCCACAUCUCUGCUCUUGUAAGACAGAACGGUAGGCACUCUG